ensembl:lncRNA
AAUUCAUCCCAGCAUCAGUGAAGUCAGAGUGUGAUUUACCACUGAAGUCGAUAGCCCUGGAUUGCAGCCAGGUAAUGUAAAAUGGACUUAGAGGCGUGCUCAGCACAAAGGUAUGUCCUUGAGAAAGCAGGUUAAUGCAAGCAAGAGCUGCCCUCUGGAACUUCAUGCAGACUAGCACUUGGAUGUCUUCAGGAAAUGAACACAAGUGGGAAAGUAUCUGUGAUGGAAAAGGGACUUGGCUUACUCUAAGGGUGGAAAUGAAGCAAAUCAGGCCUGGACAGACUGGAGAGGGCUUCAGACACAGAACAAAUCGAGGGCUGCCAAUCACUGUCUGACCCAAAGAAAGAAGCUGUGUAUCUCCAGGGCAGUGAAAGGCACAGCAAUGAGGUAUAUGCUAGUGGUGAGCUUCACCCCACUGCCUGGGAAACAUACACCCACACUGGACAAGAGAAAGCAUCACACAAAUCUCAGUCCUACAGGGUAGGCUGGAUGCACCUCUGGAUCUCAGGGAAAGGCUAUCCAAAGCUGUCCCACUGCAGACUGGAUAUAUGCUAAAGAACAGAGUGGAUUGGUUCUUCUGGGACCAAGAUGCUUUGACCUCUGAAUAAAGCAGUGAUGAAAAACAGCUUUCAAAGAACUUCUCUCUUUGAAGACAGUAUAUGUGGAGUAUACACGAGAAAAAAAAAAAGAAGAUUAAUUGCUCCCCCAAACACCGCAAUAACACAAUGGUUUAACAAUGGAAAAGUUUGACUUAGAGCAGAUUAAUUACCUUCUAACAGCUUUAAAUUAAAAUAGAUAAGCUGUUCCUUCCCUAAAGUUUUGAGCUGGAUUCUCAAAUAUUAUGAUUUAUAACCAAUGUAAUCAUUGUUUUCCUCAUCUGUUCCACGUAGCUGAAUGCUUUAGAGUACUGGAAUUACUUUUGUGCUGUAUACAGAGCAGAAUAUUGCCAUGUCCAAUGGCAAGCAAAAGGCUUAUACUCAAUUGGUUCCCAUGCUGUCAGCUAGAGUUAUAUUCUACCAUUGCUUCUGCCUCCUAUACAUGUUUCAAAAAUUUUCACCUGUCCUGUUCAAGACAGAAUUUCACAAGUCCAGAACAUAAUACACAUCACAAUUCAUGUUACCCUUCAUUUUUUUUCCUGUAAAAUUUUCAUCUUACCAAAAACACUGCUACAUACAUCUCUUGACAUCUCUUAAUGGGUGUGUGUUUCCAGGCAUGUUUCCGUAUUUAAAUGCAGAUGUGAGCAUAGUGGAAAAUUACCAUGGAAUUAAAGAUGGAAUCCUACCAACACCCACCUGUUAAACACAUGCAAAUGCUCUCUGGGGAAAUGGUAUGCACCCCAGUGAAUCACAGCCCAUGGUAGCCCAGGGCUGUCUCCACUCCUUUGACCCACAGCUGAGGGUGGAGACUUUUACAGCAACUGUCCCCUGUGAGCUCUGCCUAUCUUUCCUGUAUGCAUGUGCAAGGUCACCGUAAUGGUUGCACGUGGAGGCCAUGCCUCUUCCUCUCAAAUACGUGGGCUUGAAGCCACACAGAAAUCAGAGAAUCAUUAAGGUUGGAGAAGACCUCUAAGCUCAUCUCAUCCAACCACUAGUCCAUGCCCACCAUGCCCACUAACCAUGUUCCUCAGUGCUACAUCCACCCAGUUCUUGAACACCCCCAGGGAUGGUGACUGCACCAUCUCACUGGGCAGCCUGUGCCAAUGCCUCACCACUCUUUCUGAGAAGAAAUGUUUCCCAGUAUCCAACCUGAACCUCCUCUGGCACAACGUAAGGCCAUUCCACCCCAUCCUAUCACUGUUACCUGGGAGAAGAUGCCCAAUCUCACCCCAACCUCCUUUCAGGCAGUUGCAGAGAACCAUAAGGUCUCUGAUGAGCCACCUCUUCUCAAACUGAACUCACUUGCUCCCCAUAAGACUUGUAUUCCAGACCUUUCACAGGUUUGUUGCUCUUUUCUGGACACACUCCAGGGCCUCUGUCCUGUAUUCAGUUUCAGAUCAAGACUAGCACUCUCAUUCUUUAUCCCCGCUUCACGGUUCAACGUAGUGUUAUUAACACCAGCAAUAGCGCUUUCGUUAUCAAAACAUUUUCUGUUCACUUGUUUAUUUUAGCAGACCUGAGAAGUCUGAUUAAUCGGUUGUGGGUUUUUUCAUAUUAAGUAUAAAUUGGUGGCAAAUUUCUAAAUUUUCUCCAUCUGUUUUGGGCUGGAGGUGUUAGGGUUGUAAGUUACAGUAUUGUAUGACAUGGGAGUGUACAAUGUGAGAAAUCAUUUGAAUGUUACACUGCAACAAAACAUGCCCUUUCUUACCUAACUAACUGCAACCAGUACUUUAAAUAGUUCAAUUAGCUCCUAAGAGAGCAUGAAGAACAGAAGAAUUACCUUUCCUUCCCCACUGUAAGUUCUUGCCUGCAUUUCUCCCACUCCUUCUCCUGCUGUUCUUCAGGAAAUAUUUUCAGUGUGGUUACAACAUGUGUGAUCUGCCUGCGUAGAGAAAGCCAUAAAUCCACAUUACCAAAUGUUUAUCUGAGCUUUUGAACAUCUCGGAGAGCAUGGUAUCAGCAUCCCGCAAACCUCAGGGUACAGCAGCGCAGGAGAGGGAGCUGGCCAGAUCCUAUGUCAUUCCAAAGAGCAUGUUGAUCUGGGUAUGUAAUGAGAAGCAGGUCUGCAGGAAGGUUUCCUUGGUGGCAGUUCCAGCACACAGGUGCAGGUGCACUGCCCAGACAGUGCUGAACAAUGCAUUUCUGGCAUAGCGAGGACUCCAGUUUGGCUCGAUGCUUGCAGCGUUCAUGUCCAAACCCUGUUACUAGAUCAGCCUGGAAUGUCAUUCCAAAUCCAUGGUCUCCAGGCACUAAUCAAGAGAGGGGGCCAGCAGGAGGGGGCUGGCCUAUUGAAAACUCAGAGCGAAGGAGAAACACAGCCUCCAAAAAUACUGUAUCACUGAAAGGAAUUAAUUCACUUUCCUCGCUUGUGGUCAUUUUCAGAGACAUAAUAAAUAUAACCUGUGGGACCCAUCCAGUACCUGCAGUUAAGUUGUCAUCAUGUGCAGAUGUAUAGUGUCUUUACUAUAGCAGUGCAUUACAUUAUUUCCUUAAAUUGGUCUCAUACUUCAGCCCCUGGAAAGGCACCAGAAAAAUUUACUGGGGCUGGGAGAUUUGGAUUGCACUAAUGGCCCCGCUGGGCUUACUUGGAACAUCAUGGGAACUCCCUGCCACUUGCCCAUGAGCCUAGGAUGAAAGGAAAGUGAAGAGCUCUGAGAGCUCUGCUUUCUUUGUGUGUAUCCUCUUUAAAGAAAGUUGCAGAAACAAAAUAAAAAUGACCACAACUGUACUGCCUUGGUUUAAGUGGCAUAUUUUAAGACAUGACCAUUGCAAACAGAAAUGAAGAUCCUGUGAAGUGCUCUUCAUUUUUAUGUAAAUACUACCUUUUCACUGUUGAGAUGUAAGGAUGAGCAGUAUAAUUGGAAGCAGAAGACCUUUUCAUUAAAAAAAAGAAAAAAAAACAGGUUAAUAGGCAUCAUGCAGGAGAAAAGAGAGGUACAUGGCAUUGUGAUAAUCCAAGAAUAAAGGAAAACAGAGUGAUAUUGAACAACAUCUUUAACUGGAAAUACUCUUUGCUAUGCAAUAAAAUUAUUUGCAGACCUCAGCCACAGCACAGGAGAUAAGUAGGCUCAGUCUGGGGUACUGAGGAAUUUUUCAACCAAAUGUUUAUUUCAAUACCCUGAUUGCUCAGACCUAACCAAGGAUGUGGGAAAUCCGGUUGCAUAUCCAUCUUUCAUUGGAUAUUUAAUUAUUGACAUAGUUCAGAUGGGAAAGCUCAAAAAAGGCAGCCACAAAAGCCAGUAAUCAUGGGGUUAUUCUGAACUUGUUGUGGGUUGUUGCCAGUCUCUCUCUGCUCCUUUCCCCCUCUCUUCUUCCCUCCUGAACAUUUUAAAGAUAAUAGGUCUUCCCCAAAAAGGAGCUCUGGAAGCUUUAGGGCAGGGUUCAUUUUUUGCUUGUUUGUUUGUUUCUUUCUCCCAAGGAGUUAAAUAGAUCCCUCAACAGUUUCUCUCAUCGAUAUUAAUUUCAGUUCCUGGAAGUUAACCAUCAAGAGCCCACCUGCAGUCUCCUGGGACAGGCACAGAUAUGGGCUGUUCAUUGCAUUGGGGCUGGGCUGAACAUCUCUAGAAAGAGCAGUGAGGCACUGGCAUGGGCUACCCAGGUUGGUGGUACAGUCACUGUCCCUGGAGGUGUUCAAGAACCAUGGAGAUGUGGCACUGAGGGACAUGGUGAGUGGGCAUGGUGGGGGUGAUUAGUGGCUGGACUUGGUGAUCUUGGAGGUCUUUUCCAACCUUAAUGAUUCUAUGAUUCAAAUUAUAAUUAGCCAGCCAAGCUUCAACCAUGCUAAGCAAAAUUGAGGUCACGCCCCAUAGCCCGAACUAAAGCUAUGGUUGUGUAUUUAGCAGAAUUGUUUCAGUUUUGUUAUGAUAACCAGACACUGUCUCAGUUCUGCACUUCUUCCUGUGCUAUCUGAACUCUUCUUCCUCUCCCUCCACACUUCAUAUACUUUUCUUCCUAGCAUAGUUUUUCAACAAGCAAUGUAAGUAAUCCUAGUUCCUAGUGCCUUAUGCUAAUAAGCAUAAGAUAUGCUUAUUAUUUUAUGUGAAAACAUGUUCAAUAAUUAAAGCCUCAAUUCAAGAGCCUUAUUCAUUUUUCUUGCUUGUCCAAGAGCAUAAAUUCAUGCUCCAAGUGCUUUUCUAAAUAAGGAUGUAUUGAAGUGAAUGCCAAGCUAAGUCCCCCACUUGAGACCUACCCCAAUUAGCUGUUAUUGUUUCUACUGUUAUUAAUUACACUGUAGUCAUGCCAGGGAGCACAGGUGGUGGGCACCUUGGAGGGGCCAUCAAAAGGCAGUGUGAAAGGGUCAGGCACAUGUUUCAUGCAUGAGAAGUGGCCAGGUCUGUGGCAUGUUGGCUGGCAGACCUUAAGCAAACAGCUGAACAAUCUAGAAGAACUUGAUAAAAACCAGCAAGACAGCACCAGCAUAUAUCCGUUAUGUCAGCACUGCGAGGAUUAAUUCAGUAUCACUUCUAGUCCACAUCAAGGGAAAACUGAGGCUUGUGGGAAGAUGUACAGCUGUCUGGUGAGGCAAGAUAUAUAGCACUGGGCCUUGUGGCCUGCAGAGCUCCUUUUUUAAUGAGUGAAUGCACAGAGGAGUGUAGAAAAAUUAUUCUCUUUAUUUUCUGAGAACCUGCGAGAGGAGAAGAGCUUGUGUUUAGGUCUGGUUUCCCAUCUCCCUGUGCAGCAUAACACUGUCUUCAUGCAAGUAAAGUGCCGUGAAUCAUUUCUGCUUCUCAAAUUACACAUGGAAGCUUUAACCCAAAUCACCUUUCAAACAAGCACAUGGCCAAUUCAUGUUUUCUCAAAGGGUUUCCCUACUUUUCCCUUCUUUGAGGUGAUAUAAGACUGCAUGAACAUAAAUGGCAACACAGCCUGCCCCUGACACCAAAAGCUUUUCUCUCCUAGGAUUUUAUUAACUUGCAGUUUCCAUUUCCUAUUUCAAAUGUAUAGGUAGAUUGCUCAAAGCAGUAAAAAGACAACCUUUCCUGUAGAAGACUUUAUCUUUCUUAAGAGACUGAAGCUUGAACUGGAAAAAAAAGGGAGAAAUUAGAAGUGAAAGAAACAAUAUUUGCAGUAUUUAAGUAUAAGCCAGAUGUGGAAGUACACAUCUCCAAAUUAAACAUUUACUGAGUUGGCAGCAAUGGAAUUUUCUUCUCACACAUGUAAACGUCAGGCCUGCGUGCAGUCUAAUUUCUACCUCCACAUCUACCUGCCACUUGCUCUCUGUUGCCUCUAUCCUUCCCUGAGUUGAUUUUUAUUUGAGCUCCCUCAUUUCACUAUUCAUUUUCUCAUAGCAUCAACAACGCCUGGUUUGGUAUUAUUGUGAUAGUGGUCAACUGACACAGAAAGCAGUUGCAACCAAAAAUCCAUGUGCGCCUGUAAGUAUCAAGGUGUGGUGACAAAACUGAAAAAACACAUCUCUACUUUUUGUGAGGUACAAAACAAAAUGUUGCCCUAAUAGAAUUAUUUGAAAUGAGUAUUCCUUUUCUCAGAGGUCCAACGUAAAUUACUGUACUAGUCAGCAAAACCUUUACAAAAAAAAUAUAAAGGAAUGUUGAAGACAGAUUUUUUUUUUCUCAACUCUGAAUUAUUUUACACUCUACUACUGUAUGUAAUGUAUGGUAAUCCCCAAAAUUAGGGGCUGAAUUCUGUCUAAUUCUUGCCAAAAUUGGACAUGGAAAAUCUUGGAAACUCAUGACUUUUUUCCUGUUUUCCUGAAACAAUGCUUGACUUACAGGUCUUCACAGAUGAUGAACAUGGUACAUGGUACCUUGGUAUACCUGACAAUAAAAUGGGAGGGAAUUCCAACCCCAGCUAAUGAAUGACUGCCAAACACUACACCCACUCACUGCCAAAGCAGACCACAGUUGAGCUGCAAGGAAAGAAGGGCACGAUCUGAUGGGAUGGUUCUUGCCAAUAGCAAAGAACAACAUGCUGUUUCUGAAAGCACCCGUGUGUCAUGGUGCAUCACCGCAAAGCCCUGAGUGCUGGACCUCCCAUGCUCAGGCUGAUGCAACAAGUUUCACUGCUGAUGAGAUAAGGAAAUGAUUUCAGACCAUUACUUUAGAGAAAAACCUAGGACCCUUGCUCUACAGCAAAUGGCUUCUUAUCUAGAUCUGCUUUAGGAAAGACUGUGCACUAGUAAGAAGAAAUUAAAUAUAUUCUCAAAGACAUUCAUCUCAUCCCCUUUCAUAAGCAGAACUGAGAGAGAUGCUCCACGUGUAGCUGAUCAGACAAAAGGAGCCCAAACUUUGCUUUUUGCUGGGCUUCACUCAGCAGGUUUUUUUGGUACUGUUCCAUGGAAUGAACAUUCUCCAUUUUCUUUGAACAAAUUGUAUUACACUUGUUUCUCAUCAGAUUACAUAAAUUAGCUGAGAGGGAAUGGAUUUAAUUACAGUCCAGAUUCCAGACCUCUUAAGAACUUACAGCCUAACACAUUCCUUUCAUUUAAUAAACUGGAACCAAAUGAGGAUUAUAUCAUAUAAAUAAUAUUCCCUUGAUAGGGCAAUGCAAUAAAAUGGCAAAAAUACUCAGAGGAACCAUGUAGAUCAAAUACAAGAGACUCUGAUAUCACCCAUCGGAUUUAAAAUAUGAACCUCACAUGAACGUAAUUGUUCGAUAUUUUUAUCCUGUACUAUGAGUAAGAACCUGAUUCAGAGGGCCUUGAGCCCAAGGUUUAAUAUCUUCUGACAGCCUCAAACAGCUAAUGAAAAAAUGUGUUGCAGCAAAGUGUGGGUUUUCAUAUUUAAAAGAUAAUUUGAUAGCCUUGUACAAGAUCCUAAGCUCUCCUGCAAAAUCCAAGAUCUACAUGUCAGUGUCCCGAGUGACUAAAAGUAAAUAAAGCCCUCAGAAAGGGCUUCAAGAAAGCUCUGAGUGAGGCAGUUUUCUGA